rnacentral:rRNA from 1 species
UGGUGGAGUGAUUUGUCUGGUUUAUUCCGUUAACGAACGAGACCUCAACCUACUAAAUAGUAGGGCUCAGUCUUCGGACUGGGUCGUGACUUCUUAGAGGCACCCCGGACUCUGAAGUUCGUGGUGGAGAGGCAAUAACA